rnacentral:rRNA from 1 species
UUUAAUGAGAGUUUGAUCCUGGCUCAGGACGAACGCUGGCGGCGUGCCUAAUACAUGCAAGUAGAACGCUGAUGUUUGGUGUUUACACUAGACUGAUGAGUUGCGAACGGGUGAGUAACGCGUAGGUAACCUGCCUCAUAGCGGGGGAUAACUAUUGGAAACGAUAGCUAAUACCGCAUAAGAGUAAUUAACACAUGUUAGUUAUUUAAAAGGAGCAAUUGCUUCACUGUGAGAUGGACCUGCGUUGUAUUAGCUAGUUGGU